rnacentral:tRNA from 2 species
AAGGAAGUACUGAAAACAUAAGCACUGCUAAUCCUUAUUGACCAGGGUUAAAAUCCCUGGCUCCCUUG